rnacentral:misc_RNA from 1 species
CUGCAGCCCGGCUUGAACGGAGCUCUUUUUAUUUUUUUGAUGAAAAAUAAAAAAGCGGGAGUGGAAGACGGAUUAAGC